rnacentral:rRNA from 1 species
GAUGAACGCCGGCGGUGUGCCUAAUACAUGCAAGUCGUACGCACUGGCCCAACUGAUUGAUGGUGCUUGCACCUGAUUGACGAUGGAUCACCAGUGAGUGGCGGACGGGUGAGUAACACGUAGGCAACCUGCCCCGGAGCGGGGGAUAACAUUUGGAAACAGAUGCCAAUACCGCAUAACAACAAAAGUCACAUGGCUUUUGUUGAAAGAUGGCUUUGGCUAUCACUCUGGGAUGGACCUGCGGUGCAUUAGCUAGUUGGUAAGGUAACGGCUUACCAAGGCGAUGAUGCAUAGCCGAGUUUGAGAGACUGAUCGGCCACAAUGGAACUGAGACACGGUCCAUACUCCUACGGGAGGCAGCAGUAGGGAAUCUUCCACAAUGGGCGCAAGCCUGAUGGAGCAACACCGCGUGAGUGAAGAAGGGUUUCGGCUCGUAAAGCUCUGUUGUUGGAGAAGAACGUGCGUGAG